rnacentral:rRNA from 1 species
AUUGAACGCUGGCGGCAGGCCUAACACAUGCAAGUCGAGCGGCAGCGGGAAAGUAGCUUGCUACUUUUGCCGGCGAGCGGCGGACGGGUGAGUAAUGCCUGGGAAAUUGCCCAGUCGAGGGGGAUAACAGUUGGAAACGACUGCUAAUACCGCAUACGCCCUACGGGGGAAAGCGGGGGACCUUCGGGCCUUGCGCGAUUGGAUAUGCCCAGGUGGGAUUAGCUAGUUGGUGAGGUAAUGGCUCACCAAGGCGACGAUCCCUAGCUGGUCUGAGAGGAUGAUCAGCCACACUGGAACUGAGACACGGUCCAGACUCCUACGGGAGGCAGCAGUGGGGAAUAUUGCACAAUGGGGGAAACCCUGAUGCAGCCAUGCCGCGUGUGUGAAGAAGGCCUUCGGGUUGUAAAGCACUUUCAGCGAGGAGGAAAGGUUGUUGGCUAAUAUCCAACAGCUGUGACGUUACUCGCAGAAGAAGCACCGACUAACUCCGUGCCAGCCGCCGCGGUAAAAC